CUCCGGUGAUCCCUGCCGGACCCGACUGCUAUCAGAGUGGGACUAAGCCAUGCGAGUCAACAUAGCAAUAUGUGGCAUACGGCUCAGUAACACGUAGUCAACAUGCCCAGGGGACGUGGAUAACCUCGGGAAACUGAGGAUAAACCGCGAUAAGUCACUACUUCUGGAAUGGGUAAUGACUCAAAUCUAUAUGGCCCCUGGAUUGGACUGCGGCCGAUCAGGCUGUUGGUGAGGUAAUGGCCCACCAAACCUGUAACCGGUACGGGCUCUGAGAGGAGGAGCCCGGAGAUGGGCACUGAGACAAGGGCCCAGGCCCUAUGGGGCGCAGCAGGCGCGAAACCUCUGCAAUAGGCGAAAGCUUGACAGGGUUACUCUGAGUGAUUUCCGUUAAGGAAAUCUUUUGGCACCUCUAAAAAUGGUGCAGAAUAAGGGGUGGGCAAGUCUGGUGUCAGCCGCCGCGGUAAUACCAGCACCCCGAGUGGUCGGGACGUUUAUUGGGCCUAAAGCAUCCGUAGCCGGUUCUACAAGUCUUCCGUUAAAUCCAACUGCUUAACAGGUGGGCUGCGGAAGAUACUAUAGAGCUAGGAGGCGGGAGAGGCAAGCGGUACUCGAUGGGUAGGGGUAAAAUCCGUUGAUCCAUUGAAGACCACCAGUGGCGAAGGCGGCUUGCCAGAACGCGCUCGACGGUGAGGGAUGAAAGCUGGGGGAGCAAACCGGAUUAGAUACCCGGGUAGUCCCAGCUGUAAACGAUGCAGACUCGGUGAUGAGUUGGCUAUAUGCCAUCUCAGUGCCGCAGGGAAGCCGUUAAGUUUGCCGCCUGGGGAGUACGGUCGCAAGACUGAAACUUAAAGGAAUUGGCGGGGGAGCA
rnacentral:rRNA from 1 species